UACGUAGGUGACAAGCGUUGUCCGGAUUUACUGGGCGUAAAGAGCGCGCAGGCGGUCGUUCAAGUCGAGUGUGAAAGCCCCCGGCUCAACUGGGGAGGGUCACUCGAUACUGAUCGACUCGAAGGCAGGAGAGGGUAGUGGAAUUCCCGGUGUAGUGGUGAAAUGCGUAGAUAUCGGGAGGAACACCGAUGGCGAAGGCAGCCCCCUGGGUCAAAACUGACGCUCAUGCACGAAAGCGUGGGGAGCAAACAGG
rnacentral:rRNA from 1 species